ACAGUAGGUCGGUCUGUCGCGCAAACUUAUGUUUGUGAGGAAAGUCCGGGCAACACAGAGCACCAUACUUCUUAACGGGAAGCCAUUCGCGAGGGUGGAGUAGCGUAACAGAGAAUAACCGCCACCGCAAGGUGGUAAGGGUGAAAAGGUGGAGUAAGAGCCCACCGGGCGGUGUGGCAACACAUCGUGCCGUACGUCUUAUGGGUUGUAAGGUUAUGUAUACCGGCGCAGUAGGGCUGCUCGUCCGAUGCCGGGGGGUAAACCGCGAGGAACUUUAUGGUGACAUAAAGUCAAGAUAAAUGACAGACGCCUCUUUUGAGAGGUACAUAACCCGGCUUAUAGACUUACUGUAAUU
rnacentral:RNase_P_RNA from 1 species